rnacentral:tRNA from 1 species
GCUCGACCAGGUCGGUGACCGCGCGGUUGCGGCGCGCCGACGGGUUGAUGCCCGUCACCGCGUUCGGGUUGUAGGUGGGCA